CCCAAGAGAUCGGGAUAACACCUGGAAACAGAUGCUAAUACCGGAUAACAACAGAUGANUGCCUAUCAACUGUUUAAAAGAUGGUUCUGCUAUCACUCUUGGAUGGACCUGCGGUGCAUUAGCUAGUUGGUAGGGUAACGGCCUACCAAGGCGAUGAUGCAUAGCCGAGUUGAGAGACUGAUCGGCCACAUUGGGACUGAGACACGGCCCAAACUCCUACGGGAGGCAGCAGGC
rnacentral:rRNA from 1 species